CUGACCACAACCGCCGUAGGCUAACGCCUGUUGACAUCGUCCGUCGGUUACCCCACACUUCCAUCACAAUUUGGAAAAGAAACUGGUUGCCUUCCUGUUGAUACUAUUAAGAGCUACUGCAGACUGAUAUCUAUUCUUACAAUCUUGUGAUCAGAAGUGAAUUGCUCAGUCACCCACCAUGAUGACACUUUGCAAUAAUCCAGCAUGUUUUUGAUCAUGCAAUGUGCUCAAGCAUGGCUGACAUUCAAUUCUGUAGAAAUGUCAUCCAUAAUUACCUGUCUGUUGAUGUAAAUCAUACCAUCCACUUGUGUAGCAUUUCCUCUCUAGUGGAUGUCAAUGGCCAUUCGUAAUGCUGGUAAUUUUUCAUACUUUGACACCCAUCAUGAAAUUGCUGAUACCAUUGUCUCACCAUUUGCACUCGCCAUUUGUUCUGACAUUACAAUUGGAUCAUAUACGUCUACUAGUUGUUUAUAGAUUAUGGUGCCACAUGUACGAUGUGCCCACACUUUAUCCUUUGUCCAUCUCUGUAAUGUUUGUUCAAAUAUUUCUUAGAAUAGUAAAAGAGGAAACAAUCUGCACAGCACAUGAUCAAUUCUGAAUACUAUUGCAUAUGUGCAAUAUGCACAUUCAAACCCUAAUAUCACAUAUUGAUAGAGAAAGAUGAUUUUAUCACCACAUAGUAUAUUUUACUCCAUAACUCUAUAGACUCUGAAAAUAUAUAUAAGUGAAACUUAAUUUCAGAUUAUCCUAUGUAUAUUCAAAAAUAGAUUUCUAAUUCUGC
rnacentral:lncRNA from 1 species